GACGAACGCUGGCGGCGUGCUUAACACAUGCAAGUCGAACGGACAGGCCCUGCUUUUGUGGGGUGCUCGAGUGGCGAACGGGUGAGUAACACGUGAGUAACCUGCACUUGACUUUGGGAUAACUUCAGGAAACUGGGGCUAAUACCGGAUAGGAUCUCCUGCUGCAUGGUGGGGGUUGGAAAGUUUCGGCGGUUGUGGAUGGACUCGCGGCUUAUCAGCUUGUUGGUGGGGUAGUGGCUUACCAAGGCUUUGACGGGUAGCCGGCCUGAGAGGGUGACCGGCCACAUUGGGACUGAGAUACGGCCCAGACUCCUACGGGAGGCAGCAGUGGGGAAUAUGGCACAAUGGGCGGAAGCCUGAUGCAGCAACGCCGCGUGCGGGAUGACGGCCUUCGGGUUGUAAACCGCUUUCGCCUGUGACGAAGCGUGAGUGACGGUAAUGGGUAAAGAAGCACCGGCUAACUACGUG
rnacentral:rRNA from 1 species